GCUGUGGCCUUAAGCCAAUAUCUUGAGGUCAGGAAAAGAAGAAAUUCAACGUAAGGAACGACAGUGAGCUAGGAAAAGCAGAAAGGAUGUGACCAACUGUGUCAAAUGCUGCUGAGAGGAUGGCCGAUACUAGGCAUGCAUGUGCAUACGGCAAAGGGAGUAACCCAAUAGUGAGGAAGAAAUUGAUGCUGCAGGAGAGAGGGAAUAAUUGCCGAAGCAAAGAUCUUGAGGUACUGAGAAAGGAUGACCCUAAUUUCCUUAAUGCUGCAGCCUGCUUCCACUGAGGGACUGGAGGCUCCUUGAGCAAAAUUAUCUACCUCUUCACCUUUGGAUCUUUCACAGUUCCCAGUUCGG